AUCAACUUUCGAUGGUAGGAUAGAGGCCUACCAUGGUGGUAACGGGUAACGGGGUGUUAGGGCACGACACCGGAGAGGGAGCCUGAGAAACGGCUACCACAUCCAAGGAUGGCAGCAGGCGCGCAAAUUACCCAAUCCCGACACGGGGAGGUAGUGACAAUAAAUAACAAUACGGGGUUCUUUCGGAUCUCGUAAUUGGAAUGAGUACAAUUUAAAUCUCUUAACGAGGAACAAUUGGAGGGCAAGUCUGGUGCCAGCAGCCGCGGUAAUUCCAGCUCCAAUAGCGUAUAUUAAAGUUGUUGCAGUUAAAAAGCUCGUAGUUGAAUUUCGGGGUUAGCAGGUCGGUCGUGCCUUUGGUAUGAACUGGUCUCGCUGAUCCCUCCCUCUUGACGAACUGUGAUGCCAUUAAUUUGGUGUCGCAGGGAAUCAGGACUGUUACUUUGAAAAAAUUAGAGUGUUUAAAGCAGGCUUUCGCUUGAAUACAUUAGCAUGGAAUAAUGAAAUAGGACGUUUGAUCCUAUUUUGUUGGUUUCUAGGAUUGACGUAAUGAUUAAUAGGGAUAGUUGGGGGCAUUAGUAUUCAAUUGUCAGAGGUGAAAUUCUUGGAUUUAUUGAAGACUAACUACUGCGAAAGCAUUUGCCAAGGAUGUUUUCAUUAAUCAAGAACGAAAGUUAGGGGAUCGAAGACGAUCAGAUACCGUCGUAGUCUUAACCAUAAACUAUGCCGACUAGGGAUCGGAUGAUGUUAAUUUUUUAAUGACUCAUUCGGCGCCUUACGGGAAACCAAAGUGUUUGGGUUC
rnacentral:rRNA from 1 species